rnacentral:lncRNA from 1 species
UCAAGAGCUUUCUGCUGAUGAGAGACCACGACCUUGGGCUAGUCCUGGCCAGUUUACAGACGCUGUGCACUUGAGCACCUUUGAGUCCUGGAAAGACCUAAUUGGAAUACAUUUACAUGUGAAGCCUCCACCUCAAGAUUCAGAAAUCCCUGUGCCAACUAGAACCCUUUGAAACUAACCCUGACUAUCAUCAACAAGGAAUGUGGCUGCUUCCAUAGCAUAUUUGAAGUACAGAACUCAAGAAAAUGCUUCCUA